rnacentral:rRNA from 1 species
UACAGAGGGUGCAAGCGUUGUUCGGAAUUAUUGGGCGUAAAGCGCGUGUAGGCGGCCUUGCAAGUCGGGUGUGAAAGCCCUCAGCUUAACUGAGGAAGUGCGCCCGAAACUGCAGAGCUUGAGUACCGGAGAGGAUGGUGGAAUUCCAGAAGUAGAGGUGAAAUUCGUAGAUAUCUGGAGGAACACCGGUGGCGAAGGCGACCAUCUGGACGGAUACUGACGCUGAGACGCGAAAGCGUGGGUAGCAAACAGG